ACGAACGCUGGCGGCAUGCCUAACACAUGCAAGUCGAACGAGACCUUCGGGUCUAGUGGCGCACGGGUGCGUAACGCGUGGGAAUCUGCCCUUGGGUUCGGAAUAACAGUUAGAAAUGACUGCUAAUACCGGAUGAUGUCUUCGGACCAAAGAUUUAUCGCCCAGGGAUGAGCCCGCGUAGGAUUAGCUUGUUGGUGAGGUAAAGGCUCACCAAGGCGACGAUCCUUAGCUGGUCUGAGAGGAUGAUCAGCCACACUGGGACUGAGACACGGCCCAGACUCCUACGGGAGGCAGCAGUGGGGAAUAUUGGACAAUGGGCGAAAGCCUGAUCCAGCAAUGCCGCGUGAGUGAUGAAGGCCUUAGGGUUGUAAAGCUCUUUUGCCCGGGAAGAUAAUGACUGUACCGGGAGAAUAAGCCCCGGCUAACUCCGUGCCAGCAGCCGCGGUAAUU
rnacentral:rRNA from 1 species